CUCUUCCUGUGUGGAACCUGGGAAUCAAGUAGCCGGCUGGCCUUGCGGAGGAUCCUGCUUCCCCCUCCUCCACCCCAUUUUUUUCCUUUCACCCAGUAAAACCCUGUUUUACUCACCCUUCAAACCGUCUGCGAGGCUACAUUUUCGUGGCCACGGGACGGACAAGGACCCCAUCUUUAGCUGAACUACGGAAAAGCCCUGCAACACCACCAUCUCAUAGCUGACUUGGAAAUAAGCUAGCAGUGGCUGUGUCAGCAAGACCACCACAUGCAGCAAGGGUGGCCACUUCCAGCUAGCUCCUGCAUCCACAGCUGCCUCGCCUCUAUUGGCUACUGCCAUCCAUGUAACAGACUCUUGGGAAAUAUGCUCAGCUGAAAAACUGCAUUUCCCAACUCAAGACCUAAGAGGUGGUCAGGAGAUACAAGCAGGAGUCCUUGGAUGAGAUCUGUUUCCCAGAGCCAUCAUGUGCAAGACUAAUUUCGCUCUCCAUAUGAAAAGUCUUCAAGUAUUUGAAGACUGCCUGGCCAUCCUGCACACCCUGAAUCUUCACUCCUCUGGCUGCGCAUCUGGAGUGACGGAGCCCCUCCCUCGCUGUGCUUCAGCUUGUUCCUUCCCUUCUUCAAUGGGACUCCAAGGAACGAAGGUCAUAUUGCAAGUGCACUUCUGUUUUUGUGGCCAUCCUCUGAUACAACCAUGUUCGGCAGGAGUCACUUGGCAACUUUCAGCUGGUGGAUGGGCUGAUCUGGAGGAUCUGAGAUUGUUUCACUCACAUGCCCAGUGCCUUGCAAGGCUGGCUGAAGGGCUGGGAUCAGUGGGGCUGGGAGGCAGAGAGCUCACCUACAGCGUCUCCAGCGUGGCAACCCCAGGGCAUCAGAACUUCUCACGUGGCACCUCAGGACUCCAGGAGCGACUGCUGCCACAAUCCAGGAGGCACUGUAUGGCCUCUGUGACUUGGCCUCAGAAGUCACACCAUGUCACAACCUUUGCACUUUGUUGGCCGAGGCAGUCACAAGGCUGCCCAGAUUCAAGGAGAGGAGACAUAGACCCUACCUCUUAGAUGAAAGAGGCAUCAAAGAAUUUGCAGCCAUUUUUAAAACAGCCAGUUUUCUUUGACUGCAUGCUUUUAUUUUCCCCUGUAAUCAUUCUCAAAGUGAGAUCUCUAUAUAGUAGGUGCUGUCAAAUGACACGGGGGAGUGUCUUUCUCAGGUCUCUUACUGGGAGGUACAGCACUGGUGUAGAUGGGUCUUUCCUCCCUGCUGUGUGUAGAAGGCUGUCACCUGGGCUGCACCAUUCUGGAUGCCACACUAUUACUGACCCAGUCUAAGACAUGAUUAACCCCUUUGGAGACAAUGUAACAUUGCCGACCCACAUCAAGCUCACUGUAUACUACAGUCCCAGCUCUUCUUCUUGCUUGCUUGGAAGUACCUGCCCUACCUGUCAGCUGCUAGUGACCCCCCACCCAUGAACAGUCCAUACCACAGUCUUCUCAUGCUCAACACCAAGCUCAUUUGAUUUCAGUUGGUACAUUUUUGUUCUUCCUCUUUAUGAGGUUCCUCAAAUCCAGGCCUGGGGCAGGCAUCUCUCUGCUGCUCCAUGACCGUCCAUGAGUCAUGGAGAGUGGCCCUGUGAUCUCAGAGGGGUUUUCAAAACCAGAGUGUGUUUGCCAACAAAAAUGAUCAACAUUGAUUGGAGGGCUGGAGAAGGAGUUAUAGAGUCUGGAAAGUGAGCCAGCUAAAUCUUCAUCUUCGAAAAUGGAGAGGUUGUAGAUAAUGUCUGAAGUUGACAGAGCAAGGAAGGACAUUCUAUAAACAUAUUGCUGUAUUUGGAGUUAUGCAGGUAGCCACUGAAAAACUAAGAACAGAAAUGCUUCAAACUGGUUGCCUCUGGAAAGAGAGCUGGGAGGAAGAGUGGGCUGGGAGAGACCAGCUCUCCUCAUGCUCAGCCAUGCAGUGCAAUGUAGUAUUUUACCUUGUGCAUGGAUUUUGUAAUAAGAAAUAGUGAUGUGCAUUUGGAUGUUAAAAACAUUAUACAACAAUUUAGAGUGAGGCAUGCCAUUUAAAAGGCCUGAUUAGAGGUUGCGGUUUGUCAUUACAUUUUAUAAAGGGUUGUCUUCUUGCUUUGGGUUUAAGCUCUGUUUUCAUUAUUUUAAUUUGUUUUUUAGAAAAUCACAAAAUUGGGACCAAACCAGGAGAGAGUUGAAGACAAUGGGGUAAGGGGGAGAAAAGCUCCCCAGUGAAUUCAGCUGCCCUUUCUGUAUCACUCUAUGUACUUUGAUUUUAUGUCCUUCUGGAAAAAUUAAAUUGGAACUCCCUUUA